GACAGAGGGUGCAAACGUUGUUCGGAAUUACUGGGCGUAAAGCGUGUGUAGGCGGUCAAGUAAGUCGGAUGUGAAAGCCCCGGGCUCAACCCGGGAAGUGCACUCGAUACUGCUAGGCUAGAGUUUCGGAGAGGUUGGUGGAAUUCUCGGUGUAGAGGUGAAAUUCGUAGAUAUCGGGAAGAACACCGGUGGCGAAGGCGGCCAACUGGACGAAAACUGACGCUGAGACACGAAAGCGUGGGGAGCAAACAGG
rnacentral:rRNA from 1 species